CUCAGUUCAGGACUCCUGUCCCUAUGGUGUCACAGCCUCCAGGUGACGCAGUGAACGGUGCCACACCUGGGCUUACCAGCUGUGACAAAUUCCAGUGAAACAAAGCAAAUAGUCUCCCCCACUGGCCACCUGUCCAAGAGCAAGGACUAUGUCUCAAUUCACCCAUGCUCAAAACAGAGCCGGACACAGAAGAGAUUAGCAAAUGUUUGACAAAUCAACUGCUGGUCACAACACCCCCAAUUGGAUGUGUGAUCCUUGAACGCUUCACAAUGCUAAUCCAGUCCACUGAAAAAUGUGGAGGGA